CGGGGCGUAGUUCAGUUGGCUAGAAUGCUUGCAUGGGGUGCAAGUGGUCGCUGGUUCGAGUCCAGUCGCCCCGACCA
rnacentral:tRNA from 8 species